GUCAUUAGCCUACUAAUUAGGGAUUAGAACACGAACUCACCGGUUUAGCACAAAAACUGGUUCACAGCGACGGUGGCGCAACGGCAGCCGAGAUUCGGGCUCACGGUGAGGCCGAGGGAUGCUUGGACCAUGCUGAAAAUGCUCUGCAAGCCCACAGCAAAAUUGUUGACUCGAUUAAGCUACGAAGAAGUAGCUUUGGCGGAUUGGGCUGGCUUCGCUUGAGAUGACAGCUGGUGCACGAAGGGGAGGCUGAAGUCAACCACAGGAUUUUGAUGGAGGCUGAAGUUGACCGAAGGGGAUGGAGGCUCGGACGUGUGGCACUACAGGGAGGCUUCGGUGGAGAGAAAAAAAAAAUGAAAGAAGCUGAAGUUGAUUCGGUGGACAUGAAGACACGAGGGAGAUGGAUGGCUGGUCUUCGUGGCAGCUUGAAGGAGCGUCGGUGGAGGGAGAUAGGAGCUGGUGAAUGAGCAGGCGAUAAAGAGAGAGAGAGAGAGAGAGAGAGAGAGAGAGAGUGGGGCUGAGCUUCGAAGAAAACAAAUGA
rnacentral:lncRNA from 1 species